rnacentral:rRNA from 1 species
AUUGAACGCUGGCGGCAGGCCUAACACAUGCAAGUCGAACGCGUGGCGCACGGGUGAGUAAUGUCUGGGAAACUGCCUGAUGGAUGGGGAUAACUACUGGAAACGGUAGCUAAUACCGCAUACCAUCAGAUGUGCCCAGAUGGGAUAAGCUAGUUGGUGGGGUAACGGCUUACCACGGCGCCGAUCCAUAGCUGGUCUGAGAGGAUGAACCGCCACACUGGAACUGAGACACGGUCCAGACUCCUACGGGAGGCAGCAGUGGGUAAUAUUGCACAAUGGGCGAAAGCCUGAUGGAGCCAGGCCGCGUGUAUGAAGAAGGCCUUCGGGUUGUAAAGUACUUUCAGCGGGGAGGCGUUACCCGAAGAAGAAGCACCGGCUAACUCCGUGCCAGCAGCCGCGGUAAUAC